UACGUAGGUGGCAAGCGUUGUCCGGAAUUAUUGGGCGUAAAGCGCGCGCAGGCGGCCUCCUAAGUCCGAUGUGAAAGCCCACGGCUCAACCGUGGAGGGUCAUUGGAAACUGGGGGACUUGAGUGCAGGAGAGAAGAGUGGAAUUCCACGUGUAGCGGUGAAAUGCGUAGAGAUGUGGAGGAACACCAGUGGCGAAGGCGACUGCACUGGCCCGGUACUGACGCUGAGGUGCGAAAGCGUGGGGGAGCAAACAGG
rnacentral:rRNA from 1 species